UAUAUUUUAGUGUACGAAGCACAAAAGUUUUUGAUACUUUUAGAAAUAGUUUAAUUCUGUUAAAUAUAA
rnacentral:tRNA from 1 species